CCUACGGGCGGCAGCAGUGAGGAAUAUUGGUCAAUGGACGAGAGUCUGAACCAGCCAAGUAGCGUGAAGGAUGACUGCCCUAUGGGUUGUAAACUUCUUUUAUAUGGGAAUAAAAUGUUCCACGUGUGGGAUUUUGUAUGUACCAUAUGAAUAAGGAUCGGCUAAAUCCGUGCCAGCAGCCGCGGUAAUACGGAGGAUCCGAGCGUUAUCCGGAUUUAUUGGGUUUAAAGGGAGCGUAGGUGGAUUGUUAAGUCAGUUGUGAAAGUUUGCGGCUCAACCGUAAAAUUGCAGUUGAAACUGGCAGUCUUGAGUACAGUAGAGGUGGGCGGAAGUCGUGGUGUAGCGGUGAAAUGCUUAGAUAUCACGAAGAACUCCGAUUGCGAAGGCAGUUCACUGGACUGCAACUGACACUGAGGCUCGAAAGUGUGGGUAUCAAACAGGAUUAGAUACCCUGGUAGUC
rnacentral:rRNA from 1 species